AGAAUCAACGCUGGCGGCGUGCCUAACACAUGCAAGUCGAACGAGAAAGUGGAGCAAUCCAUGAGUAAAGUGGCGCACGGGUGAGUAACACGUGACUAACCUACCCUUGAGUGGGGAAUAACUGAGGGAAACCUUAGCUAAUACCGCAUAAUACCUACGGGUCAAAGGAGCAAUUCGCUUAAGGAGGGGUCGCGGCAGAUUAGCUAGUUGGCGGGGUAAUGGCCCACCAAGGCAGUGAUCUGUA
rnacentral:rRNA from 1 species